AACGCGAAGAACCUUACCUACCCUUGUAUCCACGGAAUUUUGCAGAGAUGCAGAAGUGCCUUCGGGAACCGUGAGACAGGUGCUGCAUGGCUGUCGUCAGCUCGUGUCGUGAGAUGUUGGGUUAAGUCCCGUAACGAGCGCAACCCUUGUCCUUAGUUGCCAGCGAUUAGGUCGGGAACUUUAAGGAGACUGCCGGUGACAAACCGGAGGAAGGCAGGGAUGACGUCAAGUCCUCAUGGCCUUUAUGGGUAGGGCCACACGCGUGCUACAAUGGGUGUUACAAAGGGCAGCGAACCUGCGAAGGUAAGCCAAUCCCAAAAAAGCACUCGUAGUCCGGAUUGGAGUCUGCAACUCGACUCCAUGAAGCUGGAAUCGCUAGUAAUCGCAAAUCAGAAUGUUGCGGUGAAUACGUUCCCGGGCCUUGUACACACCGGAGUGC
rnacentral:rRNA from 1 species